rnacentral:rRNA from 1 species
UUCCCUACGGGCGGCAGCAGUGGGGAAUUUUUCGCAAUGGGGGCAACCCUGACGAAGCAAUGCCGCGUGAAUGAAGAAGGCCUUCGGGUUGUAAAGUUCUUUCGUGGGAGACGAAAAGGUAAUCGCUAAUAUCGGUUGCUGUUGACGUGAACCCAAGAAGAAGCACCGGCUAACUCCGUGCCAGCAGCCGCGGUAAUACGGAGGGUGCGAGCGUUCAUCGGAAUCACUGGGCGUAAAGGGCGCGUAGGCGGUGGGUUACGUCGGCCGUGAAAUCCCCGGGCUCAACCUGGGAAUGGCGGUGGAAACGGGCUGACUAGAGUAUGGGAGAGGGUGAUGGAAUUCCAGGUGUAGCGGUGAAAUGCGUAGAGAUCUGGAGGAACAUCAGUGGCGAAGGCGGUCACCUGGCCCAAUACUGACGCUGAGGCGCGAAAGCGUGGGGAGCAAACAGGAUUAGAUACCCCUGUAGUCUA